rnacentral:lncRNA from 1 species
CCAUCAAGAUCCUCAAGCAGCUCGGUGCCUACGCUGAUGCUGAGAAGGCCAAGGACUCCGUUGGCAUCCGCCCCGGCAAGGGGAAGAUGCGCAACCGUCGCUACAUCAACCGCAAGGGACCCCUCAUUGUCUACGGCACCGAGGGCUCCAAGAUCGUCAAGGCUUUCCGCAACCUCCCUGGUGUUGAUGUUGCCAAUGUCGAGCGCCUCAACCUGCUUGACCUCGCCCCUGGUGGCCACCUUGGCCGGUUCGUGAUCUGGACCGAGAGCGCGUUCAAGAAGUUGGAUGAGGUGUACGGUACCUUCGAGACGCCUUCGGCCAAGAAGAAGGGCUUCGUGCUCCCUAGGCCUAAGAUGGCCAACGCUGACCUGUCCAGGCUCAUCAACUCUGAUGAGGUGCAGUCGGUCGUGAAGCCCAUCAACAAGUUGGUGAAGCGCAGGGAGGCUAGGAAGAACCCGCUGAAGAACAUGGCCGCUGUGCUCAAGCUGAACCCAUACUUGGGUACUGCGCGCAAGAUGGCAGCUCUUGCCGAGGC